rnacentral:rRNA from 1 species
UGUAAAAUUUUAAAGGUCGAACAGACCUAAUAUUUUAGCUCCUACACCAAAAAUUUAUUUUAAUCCAACAUCGAGGUCGCAAUCUUUUCUUUUAAUAUGAACUCUUUAAAAAAAUUACGCUGUUAUCCCUAAGGUAAUUUUAUCUUAUAAUCAAAAAUAUUGGAUCAUUAAUUCAUAAAUUAAUGAAUUUAAAUAAAAAAAGUUAGCUUAAUUUUUCAAUCACCCCAAUUAAAUUGUUAAAUAAAAUAAAUAUAUAAAUACUAAAAAGUAACUUUUAUUAAACAAUCAAACUCUAUAGGGUCUUCUCGUCUUUUAAAUAUAUUUAAGCUUUUUAACUUAAAAAUAAAAUUCUAAUAAAAUUUAAUAGAGACAGCUAUUUUCUUAUCCAACCUUUCAUUCCAGUUCUUAAUUAAAAAACUAAUGAUUAUGCUACCUUAGCACGGUCAAAAUACCACGGCCAUUUAAAAAUUCAGUGGGCAGGUUAGACCUUAAAUUAUUUACAAAAGGAC